rnacentral:rRNA from 1 species
AAGGAGAGAGGCCGAAAAGAGGAGACGCUGAGAGAGGAACAGAUACAUCCUCGUCGCAGCAAGACCACACGACGGCUCACCCUCGUCAGCGACAGCUCCCCUCUCCCUGUAAUCCUUAGCCCCUUGCCAUCUGGGUGCGCCGUCCCCUUCCAGGCACAGCUGCCGGCGACCUCUCCUUCACCAUCACCAUCUCUCCACCCUGAGCUCCGACCUACCCACCAUGUCAAGCAGGUCCAGAUCCGCCACGGCUCCCGCAGCCACGCGCCGGCAGACCAAUCGGGUGCGCAGGUGCACGACGUGUGGUUAUACUCUUCCACUCUCGUGGCCACCAUUCUGCUUCCUCCCCUCCCCUGGUUCAGCAGCAGCAGUAGGCAGGACAUGAAGCCGUGGCUCUUCAAGGUCAUCCCUGGCCCCACCGACAAACCCGGGAUUGCCGUGGACUACAAGGUGUACCCGUGCAAUGCUUGUUUCCUUGAAUCAGAAGCUCGAUGCAAGCAAACUGCAGUGUUUAACUGA